rnacentral:rRNA from 1 species
GGGUUGUGAGGUUAAGCGACUAAGCGUACACGGUGGAUGCCCUGGCAGUCAGAGGCGAUGAAGGACGUGCUAAUCUGCGAUAAGCGCCGGUAAGGUGAUAUGAACCGUUAUAACCGGCGAUUUCCGAAUGGGGAAACCCAGUGUGAUUCGUCACACUAUCAUUAACUGAAUCCAUAGGUUAAUGAGGCGAACCGGGGGAACUGAAACAUCUAAGUACCCCGAGGAAAAGAAAUCAACCGAGAUUCCCCCAGUAGCGGCGAGCGAACGGGGAGGAGCCCAGAGCCUGAAUCAGCAUGUGUGUUAGUGGAAGCGUCUGGAAAGGUGCGCGAUACAGGGUGACAGCCCCGUACACAAAAGCGCAUGUGCUGUGAGCUCGAUGAGUAGGGCGGGACACGUGGUAUCCUGUCUGAAUAUGGGGGGACCAUCCUCCAAGGCUAAAUACUCCUGACUGACCGAUAGUGAACCAGUACCGUGAGGGAAAGGCGAAAAGAACCCCGGCGAGGGGAGUGAAAAAGAACCUGAAACCGUGUACGUACAAGCAGUGGGAGCACCCUUCGGGGUGUGACUGCGUACCUUUUGUAUAAUGGGUCAGCGACUUAUAUUCUGUAGCAAGGUUAACCGUAUAGGGGAGCCGGAGGGAAACCGAGUCUUAACCGGGCGUUAAGUUGCAGGGUAUAGACCCGAAACCCGGUGAUCUAGCCAUGGGCAGGUUGAAGGUUGGGUAACACUAACUGGAGGACCGAACCGACUAAUGUUGAAAAAUUAGCGGAUGACCUGUGGCUGGGGGUGAAAGGCCAAUCAAACCGGGAGAUAGCUGGUUCUCCCCGAAAGCUAUUUAGGUAGCGCCUCGUGAAUUCAUCUCCGGGGGUAGAGCACUGUUUCGGCUAGGGGGCCAUCCCGGCUUACCAACCCGAUGCAAACUGCGAAUACCGGAGAAUGUUAUCACGGGAGACACACGGCGGGUGCUAACGUCCGUCGUGAAGAGGGAAACAACCCAGACCGCCAGCUAAGGUCCCAAAGUCAUGGUUAAGUGGGAAACGAUGUGGGAAGGCCCAGACAGCCAGGAUGUUGGCUUAGAAGCAGCCAUCAUUUAAAGAAAGCGUAAUAGCUCACUGGUCGAGUCGGCCUGCGCGGAAGAUGUAACGGGGCUAAACCAUGCACCGAAGCUGCGGCAGCGACGCUGAUGCGUUGUUGGGUAGGGGAGCGUUCUGUAAGCCUGCGAAGGUGACCUGUGAGGGUUGCUGGAGGUAUCAGAAGUGCGAAUGCUGACAUAAGUAACGAUAAAGCGGGUGAAAAGCCCGCUCGCCGGAAGACCAAGGGUUCCUGUCCAACGUUAAUCGGGGCAGGGUGAGUCGACCCCUAAGGCGAGGCCGAAAGGCGUAGUCGAUGGGAAACGGGUUAAUAUUCCCGUACUUGGUGUUACUGCGAAGGGGGGACGGAGAAGGCUAUGUUGGCCGGGCGACGGUUGUCCCGGUUUAAGCGUGUAGGUGUGUGUUCCAGGUAAAUCCGGUUCACUUUAACACUGAGGCGUGACGACGAGGCACUACGGUGCUGAAGCAACAAAUGCCCUGCUUCCAGGAAAAGCCUCUAAGCAUCAGGUAACACGAAAUCGUACCCCAAACCGACACAGGUGGUCAGGUAGAGAAUACCAAGGCGCUUGAGAGAACUCGGGUGAAGGAACUAGGCAAAAUGGUGCCGUAACUUCGGGAGAAGGCACGCUGACACGUAGGUGAAGUGAUUUACUCAUGGAGCUGAAGUCAGUCGAAGAUACCAGCUGGCUGCAACUGUUUAUUAAAAACACAGCACUGUGCAAACACGAAAGUGGACGUAUACGGUGUGACGCCUGCCCGGUGCCGGAAGGUUAAUUGAUGGGGUCAGCGCAAGCGAAGCUCCUGAUCGAAGCCCCGGUAAACGGCGGCCGUAACUAUAACGGUCCUAAGGUAGCGAAAUUCCUUGUCGGGUAAGUUCCGACCUGCACGAAUGGCGUAAUGAUGGCCAGGCUGUCUCCACCCGAGACUCAGUGAAAUUGAACUCGCUGUGAAGAUGCAGUGUACCCGCGGCAAGACGGAAAGACCCCGUGAACCUUUACUAUAGCUUGACACUGAACAUUGAGCCUUGAUGUGUAGGAUAGGUGGGAGGCUUUGAAGUGUGGACGCCAGUCUGCAUGGAGCCGACCUUGAAAUACCACCCUUUAAUGUUUGAUGUUCUAACGUGGACCCGUAAUCCGGGUUGCGGACAGUGUCUGGUGGGUAGUUUGACUGGGGCGGUCUCCUCCUAAAGAGUAACGGAGGAGCACGAAGGUUGGCUAAUCCUGGUCGGACAUCAGGAGGUUAGUGCAAUGGCAUAAGCCAGCUUGACUGCGAGCGUGACGGCGCGAGCAGGUGCGAAAGCAGGUCAUAGUGAUCCGGUGGUUCUGAAUGGAAGGGCCAUCGCUCAACGGAUAAAAGGUACUCCGGGGAUAACAGGCUGAUACCGCCCAAGAGUUCAUAUCGACGGCGGUGUUUGGCACCUCGAUGUCGGCUCAUCACAUCCUGGGGCUGAAGUAGGUCCCAAGGGUAUGGCUGUUCGCCAUUUAAAGUGGUACGCGAGCUGGGUUUAGAACGUCGUGAGACAGUUCGGUCCCUAUCUGCCGUGGGCGCUGGAGAACUGAGGGGGGCUGCUCCUAGUACGAGAGGACCGGAGUGGACGCAUCACUGGUGUUCGGGUUGUCAUGCCAAUGGCACUGCCCGGUAGCUAAAUGCGGAAGAGAUAAGUGCUGAAAGCAUCUAAGCACGAAACUUGCCCCGAGAUGAGUUCUCCCUGAGACUUAGAGUCUCCUGAAGGAACGUUGAAGACGACGACGUUGAUAGGCCGGGUGUGUAAGCGCAGCGAUGCGUUGAGCUAACCGGUACUAAUGAACCGUGAGGCUUAACCUUACAACGCCGAAG